ACUCAAAGGAAUAGACGGGGGCCCGCACAAGCAGUGGAUCAUGUGGUUUAAUUCGAAGCAACGCGAAGAACCUUACCUGGGUUUGACAUCCUCUGACAAUUCUAGAGAUAGAACUUUUGUAGCAAUACAACAGAGAGACAGGUGCUGCAUGGCUGUCGUCAGCUCGUGUGGUGACAUGUUGGGUUAAGUCCCGCAACGAGCGCAACCCCUAGCUUUAGUUGCCAGCAUUAAGUUGGGCACUCUAACGCGACUGCCGUGGUUAACACGGAGGAAGGUGGGGAUGACGUCAAGUCCUCAUGGCCCUUAUGUCCAGGGCGACACACGUGAUACAAUGGCCGGUACAGAGAGAAGCAAUAGGGCGACCUGGAGCGGAUCUCAAAAAGCCGGUCUCAGUUCGGAUUGGAGUCUGCAACUCGACUCCAUGAAGGUGGAAUUGCUAGUAAUCGCGGAUCAGAACGCCGCGGUGAAUACGUUCCCGGGCCUUGUACACACCGCCCGU
rnacentral:rRNA from 1 species